GCUCUCAUUGGAUGGCCCACCGAACGUAGCCGGAGGCGAGCCCGGGCGUGUGCACGCUCCCUGCGCGUGGACGUUAUCCCUGCUCCCGCUCCGAGCGGAGGGCGCCAUCUUGUCCUGGGUGUUUGUUCUGUGUAAACCUCAGGCUCGGAACCUUCGUUGCUCGUCCCCGUCCUUUACUCGUUUUCUGGCUGCCUGUUGGGUAUGCAGAGAGAUUUGCUGCAUUUCUAAAACAUCUCUGAAAACAAGCUGCAUUUCAGAAUUGAAACCAGCAUUUCCUUUUCUACUUUAAGAGUGCACGCAGGAAGCCAUUGGGCACACCAAGGUGAACUCCUCUACUCUUUUGAACAACCUCUGAGCAAAUGACCCAUACAUGUGUUAUCAGGAGCCCUGACUUCUCCUUGGAGCUCCGGAACAAUAUAUCUAGCUGCUGAUUCAACAUUGGUACUUGACUCAAAGACUCCUCCCGGAUAACCUGUCUAAGACUUCACUUGUGGUCUUCUCCCCUAUUGUCUUCCAUCCAUUUACAUUUAAGAAGCCAGAAUCCUUGUCCUUACCACAUUCACCUCCCCCUUAUACAAUAAAAU